rnacentral:tRNA from 1 species
GGGGGUAGAGCUCAGUGGUGGAGCACAUGCUUAGCAUGCAGGAGGUCCUGGGUUCAAUCCCCAGUGCCUCCA